CAGGCCUAACACAUGCAAGUCGAGCGAGAAGGUUAUGACUGAUUCUUCGGAUGAAGGAUUAACUGGAAAGCGGCGGACGGGUGAGUAACGCGUGGGUAACCUGCCCCAUACACAGGGAUAGCCAUUGGAAACGAUGAUUAAUACCUGAUAACACUAUAGUAUCGCAUGAUACAUUAGUCAAAGAUUUAUCGGUAUGGGAUGGACCCGCGUCUGAUUAGCUAGUUGGUAAGGUAACGGCUUACCAAGGCAACGAUCAGUAGCCGACCUGAGAGGGUGAUCGGCCACACUGGAACUGAGACACGGUCCAGACUCCUACGGGAGGCAGCAGUGGGGAAUAUUGCACAAUGGGCGCAAGCCUGAUGCAGCAACGCCGCGUGAACGACGAAGGCCUUCGGGUCGUAAAGUUCUUUUCUUAGGGAAGAAAAAUGACGGUACCUAAGGAAUAAGCACCGGCUAAAUACGUGCCAGCAGCCGCGGUAAUACGUAUGGUGCAAGCGUUAUCCGGAAUCACUGGGCGUAAAGGGUACGUAGGCGGUUUUGCAAGUCAGAAGUGAAAGGCUACGGCUCAACCGUAGUAAGCUUUUGAAACUGCAAGACUAGAGUUCAGGAGAGGCAAGUGGAAUUCCUAGUGUAGAGGUGAAAUUCGUAGAUAUUAGGAGGAACACCAGUGGCGAAGGCGACUUGCUGGACUGAUACUGACGCUGAGGUACGAAAGCGUGGGGAGCAAAC
rnacentral:rRNA from 1 species